UCCUACGGGAGGCAGCAGUGGGGAGUAUUGGACAAUGGGGGCAACCCUGAUCCAGCCAUGCCGCGUGUGUGAAGAAGGCCCUCGGGUUGUAAAGCACUUUCAGCGAGGAAGAACGCCUAGCGGUUAAUACCCGCUAGGAAAGACAUCACUCGCAGAAGAAGCACCGGCUAACUCCGUGCCAGCAGCCGCGGUAAUACGGAGGGUGCAAGCGUUAAUCGGAAUUACUGGGCGUAAAGCGCGCGUAGGUGGCUUGAUAAGCCGGUUGUGAAAGCCCCGGGCUCAACCUGGGAACGGCAUCCGGAACUGUCAAGCUAGAGUGCAGGAGAGGAAGGUAGAAUUCCCGGUGUAGCGGUGAAAUGCGUAGAGAUCGGGAGGAAUACCAGUGGCGAAGGCGGCCUUCUGGACUGACACUGACACUGAGGUGCGAAAGCGUGGGUAGCAAACAGGAUUAGAUACCCUGAUAGUCCACGCCGUAAACGAUGUCGACCAGCCGUUGGGUGCCUAGCGCACUUUGUGGCGAAGUUAACGCGAUAAGUCGACCGCCUGGGGAGUACGGCCGCAAGGUUAAAACUCAAAUGAAUUGACGG
rnacentral:rRNA from 1 species